AGCCACGCAGUAAGCUACAAGCGAACUAUUCUUUCGCCUUUUACUAAAGAAUACAGUGCUCGUUGCAUUAAGUGGCAUAAGCCUAUUUUUGGAGGAUCCCCUGCUUCUAGCGGAG